rnacentral:rRNA from 1 species
GUGAGGAAUAUUGGUCAAUGGGCGGGAGCCUGAACCAGCCAAGUCGCGUGAAGGAAGAAGGAUCUAUGGUUCGUAAACUUCUUUUGCAGGGGAAUAAAGUGCAGGACGUGUCCUGUUUUGUAUGUACCCUGAGAAUAAGGAUCGGCUAACUCCGUGCCAGCAGCCGCGGUAAUACGGAGGAUCCGAGCGUUAUCCGGAUUUAUUGGGUUUAAAGGGUGCGUAGGUGGUUUGAUAAGUCAGCGGUGAAAGUUUGCAGCUUAACUGUAAAAAUGCCGUUGAAACUGUCGGACUUGAGUGUAAAUGAGGUAGGCGGAAUGCGUGGUGUAGCGGUGAAAUGCAUAGAUAUCACGCAGAACUCCGAUUGCGAAGGCAGCUUACUAAGCUACAACUGACACUGAAGCACGAAAGCGUGGGGAGCAAACAGGAUUAGAAACCCGAGUAGUCC